rnacentral:misc_RNA from 1 species
GCAUGUUUUUUCUUUUUCUUACUAAACUUUGCAGCAAUUCCGUGAACCAAUUCAAUGCAAGGUGGUGAGAUUCUCUCAUCAUUUUCUUUCUUCUGAUUUUCUUCAUUUUUCAAAAAGACUUCUUGUUCUAUGUUUUCACCCUUAGCCUCAUUUGGCUGAGUCUUAUCAUCUCUAUUAACAUUGCCAUAGGAAGGAUUCUCAGCUUGCAGACCUUUCUCCUCCUUUGCCUGUUUGUUCUUUUUCUUACUGGAUUUUGCAGCAAUUCCAUGAACCAAUUGAAUGGAAGGUAGCAAGAUUCCUUCAUCAUUUUCUUUCUUCUGAUUUUCGUCAUUUUCCAACAAGAUGUGUUGCUCUAUAUUUUCACCCUUAGCCUUAUCAUCUUCAUUGACAUUGGCAUGGAAAGGACUCCCAGCUUCAAGACCUUUUUCCUCCUUUGCCUGUUUUUUCUUCUUUUUCCCGGAUUCCGCAGGAAUUCCAUGAUCCAAUUCAAAGGAAGGUGGUGAGAAAUGCAACAUGAUAUCUCCCUUAUCAUUUUUCGUCCUCUGGUCUUCUUCAUUUGUUACGGCUAUAUCUUGACUUGAUUUGUCAGCUUUUGUCUCAUUUUGCUGGGCUUUAUCCCAUUUAAGGAUUGUGCCAAAGAAAAAAUCAUCUUCAAUUCCAGUUAUAAGCUGUUUCUCCUCUUUGGAUUGCUUCUUCCUUUUCUUCUUUGGCUUUACACCAUUCUCAGAGCCCACAUGAGCAGAAGGUAGGAUAGAUUCAUGUUGAUC